GAUGAAGAACGUAGCGAAAUGCGAUAAGUAAUAUGAAUUGCAAAAUUCAGUGAAUCAUCGAAUCUUUGAACGCACAUUGCGCCCGUCAGUAUUCUGGCGGGCAUGCCUGUUCGAGCGUCAUUACGCCCCUCAAGUCCCCUGUGGACUUGGUGUUGGGGAUCGGCGAGGCUGGUUUUCCAGCACAGCCGUCCCUUAAAUUAAUUGGCGGUCUCGCCGUGGCCCUCCUCUGCGCAGUAGUAAAACACUCGCAACAGGAGCCCGGCGCGGUCCACUGCCGUAAAACCCCCCAACUUUUUAUAGUUGACCUCGAAUCAGGUAGGACUACCCGCUGAACUUAAGCAUAUCAAUAAGCGGAGGA
rnacentral:misc_RNA from 1 species